rnacentral:rRNA from 1 species
GACGAACGCUGGCGGCGUGCCUAACACAUGCAAGUCGAGCGGAGAUUGCAGCAAUGCGAUCUUAGCGGCGGACGGGUGAGUAACGCGUGGGCAAUCUGCCCUACACAGGGGGAUAACACCGGGAAACUGGUGCUAAUACCGCAUAACAACAUUGGAUGGCAUCAUCUGAUGUUCAAAGGAGCAAUCCGGUGUAGGAUGAGCCCGCGUCCGAUUAGCUAGUUGGUGGGGUAAAGGCCUACCAAGGCGACGAUCGGUAGCCGAACUGAGAGGUUGAUCGGCCACAUUGGGACUGAGACACGGCCCAGACUCCUACGGGAGGCAGCAGUGGGGAAUACUGCGCAAUGGGGGAAACCCUGACGCAGCAACGCCGCGUGAAGGAUGAAGGCUCUCGGGUUGUAAACUUCUUUGAUUGGGGACGAAUAAAUGACGGUACCCAAAAAACAAGCCACGGCUAACUACGUGCCAGCCGCCGCGUAAAAC